rnacentral:lncRNA from 1 species
AAUCCUGAAACCAGCAAUCACAAAGUCAGUUCCUCAUCAAGAGAUCAAAGUCAUUCAUUUUGGAUACAAUCAUAUUUUCAGGCUAAAGGGAAGGUUGGGAAGGUCAGGCAUUAGAAUGCUGGAGGAGUGUCCUUGGCAGAGAAGGACUAAGCCAGUGGAUCACAAACAUCCUGGAGAGCAGUGACUCUGUGAUUCCAUCACAAGAAUAUGAAGGACUGAGAAGAUCUCCAGCUCUGCCCAUUGCACCUUCCCAUUGAGAAGCAGCAUGGCACCCUGGUGGCAGGGGCUGAUACUCAGCCGGGCCAGGGUGCUCUCCUGUUAACCAUAACCAAGCUCACAGGACAUGGGAUGAGCCCACUGUGUGACACAGGGAGCGGGACACAGUCUGUUAAGUCUUGCACAGCCAUGCUCUGCCACGCAGGCAGGCCUUUCCUUGGCCUCCCUCUCCCUGUUCGUGCUCAUGUGAACAUCCACCUACGUGGAUAGACUGGGCUUUGGUUCAUUAUUGCUCUGUGAAUUCCUCGAACUUCCGCAUCUGCCCAACCUCCCCCACCCCAUUGUUUUCAUUGUGUUUCACCAAAUGGAAAUUCUAGAGUAAGCAUAUAGAAUCUUCAACUCGGAGGCACCAGUCUCUCUCACUUGAGGAAAGAAUGCGAAGGAAGGAAUGGCCUGACUUCCUCAUGUGUGCCCUGUUUCUCGGUAGGCACCAUGUGGGGGCUGCCACACAUGUGCCGAAGCUUUGGGAACGUUCCGUUUAAAUACCAAUUUCGAUGCCAAUGCCUAACAUGGAGCACAAAUAUCCAGCUCACAUAGUUGUGGGAGCCAUAGAUAAGAAAGAAGCAUUUACGAAGCACAUCAAAAGUGUCUCAGAAGAGCUGUAUACUUGGCCAUGGGGGCAGCAGCUCCCGCUCAAGCAUCCCCUCAGCCUGCACACCUCCAGGACUUGCUGCUUUCUGUGCUGUUCUCAACACCAGGGUCCUUUCCUCCAGAAGUGGGACCUCUUAAGUGUGAGAAAAGAACUUGUUCUUUUAAGAUGGUACCUGAAUGACUUUUGAAAUUUAAUUAGAACCUGUAGUUUUUCAAAGCCUCCUGUUAUAGACCGAAUGGUACCCUCCUACAUUCAUAUACCGAAGCCCUGACCCUGGCGUGGCUGCAUUUGGAGAUAGGGUCUCUAAGGAGGUGAUUGAGGUUAAAUGAAACCAUAAGAAUGGAGCUCCAAUCCAGUAGUGCUGGUGUCCUUGCAAAGAAGAGGAAGAGGCAUCAGAGAUGCACAAGCAUGGAGAAAAGGCCAUGUGAGGACACAGCAAGAAGGUGGCUGUCUGCAAACCUGGAAGAGUGUCCUCACUAGAAGCCAUCCAUGCUAGCACCUUGAACUCCAGAACCAUGAGAAAAUAAAUUUCUGUUUUUAAGCCACCCAA